AAGACACUAGUAAAAUUGACUAUUACAUCACCUUGUCGAGGCGAAAUCGUGGGUUAAACCCCCGCGUGUCUUA
rnacentral:tRNA from 1 species